GAAACGACUGCUAAUACCGCAUAAGCCCACGGCUCGGCAUCGAGCAGAGGGAAAAGGAGCAAUCCGCUUUGAGAUGGCCUCGCGUCCGAUUAGCUAGUUGGUGAGGUAACGGCCCACCAAGGCGACGAUCGGUAGCCGGACUGAGAGGUUGAACGGCCACAUUGGGACUGAGACACGGCCCAGACUCCUACGGGAGGCAGCAGUGGGGAAUAUUGCACAAUGGGGGAAACCCUGAUGCAGCGACGCCGCGUGGAGGAAGAAGGUCUUCGGAUUGUAAACUCCUGUUGUUGAGGAAGAUAAUGACGGUACUCAACAAGGAAGUGACGGCUAACUACGUGCCAGCAGCCGCGGUAAAACGUAGGUCACAAGCGUUGUCCGGAAUUACUGGGUGUAAAGGGAGCGCAGGCGGGAGAACAAGUUGGAAGUGAAAUCCAUGGGCUCAACCCAUGAACUGCUUUCAAAACUGUUUUUCUUGAGUAGUGCAGAGGUAGGCGGAAUUCCCGGUGUAGCGGUGGAAUGCGUAGAUAUCGGGAGGAACACCAGUGGCGAAGGCGGCCUACUGGGCACCAACUGACGCUGAGGCUCGAAAGUGUGGGUAGCAAACAGGAUUAGAUACCCUGGUAGUCCACACCGUAAACGAUGAUUACUAGGUGUUGGAGGAUUGACCCCUUCAGUG
rnacentral:rRNA from 1 species